rnacentral:lncRNA from 1 species
CCUAUAUUCCUAUAUGGCUCUCUCUGCUUCCAUCUUAGUAUAUUUACCCCUCAGCAUUCUAUGGAACUGAUUAUAUGGGGUAGAUUUUAUUCCUUCCACCUAGGAAAGUCUGGAAUCCCUUAGACAAGGGUGCUCAAGUGCCAUGAGCCAUGAAGACACUGAAGAAUCUGCAGGCACAUCUGAAUAUUAGAGCAUGCAUGGGAAGCGACUGCCCAGCCCAUGGGCUUGGGUGGCCAUUAGGCUUCCAAAUUCCAAUAUGAUUCACACCAUUCAUAAGACAAGUCCCAACUGGACCCUCCAGGACCUGCUGUUUAUGUUUUACCUCGAACAGAAAAGACCACAGAGCCACCCUCUAACAUCCUGAAUCUAUAGACAUAAUGACACCAGCAACAAUGACACUGGUUUCAUUCGCAUCUGUAGAAGGUCUACUCACACAUGGACCCCUGUUUUGAGAAAGAUAUUGUGGGCAAAAACUCCAGGGACUGCACUCAUGUGCAGCUUAAAAGAAAAAGCUACUUCAGUAAGUCUGAAGUUGUCCGUGGCAGCAGCUCCCCACAAUACCUGUGUGAUGCUAUAAAACAGUAGUCAGGAAAUGUAAGAAGCAUUACAGCCAGCCUCUGAAGAUCACACCAUCUGUCAAGUCCCCACCUGGGCUGGAAUGUGUGUGUGUGCUGAUGAUAGGUCAUAUGACCAUAUGACUUUGUGGCAGUCAAGGUGAGUCAUUUACCAGUCCUGCUGUUGUGUGACAAAGCUAGACUGGCUAAGAGGCCUUGCAUCCCACACAGGGUAAUCCUCUGUUCAAGGGGCAGAAAAUCUCCUUGUGGUCACCAUGGACUCAACUCCAAGACAGAUGAGGCUAGAGAAUCGGUGUCAAUUGUAUUGAACAGAUAGCAGACCCACGCCAAAGAAAAUUAAACAGAGAAUAUACUUUCAAAAGGAUGACAUCUCAGAUGUGUCUCAGGACACACCAGACCUAAGGAGAGCUCAUGAGGAAGGAGGCUCCAGCCACAGUGUAUUGCUGUGUCACCUGAGUCAAGCUCUGGAGGCUGAAGUCUGAGCUCAAGGUGUUGACAGGGUGGCCUCCUUC